rnacentral:rRNA from 1 species
AUUGAACGCUGGCGGCAGGCCUAACACAUGCAAGUCGAGCGGUAACAGAUUGAUAGCUUGCUAUCAAUGCUGACGAGCGGCGGACGGGUGAGUAAUGCCUGGGAAUAUACCCUGAUGUGGGGGAUAACUAUUGGAAACGAUAGCUAAUACCGCAUAAUCUCUUCGGAGCAAAGAGGGGGACCUUCGGGCCUCUCGCGUCAGGAUUAGCCCAGGUGGGAUUAGCUAGUUGGUGGGGUAAUGGCUCACCAAGGCGACGAUCCCUAGCUGGUCUGAGAGGAUGAUCAGCCACACUGGAACUGAGACACGGUCCAGACUCCUACGGGAGGCAGCAGUGGGGAAUAUUGCACAAUGGGGGAAACCCUGAUGCAGCCAUGCCGCGUGUAUGAAGAAGGCCUUCGGGUUGUAAAGUACUUUCAGUUGUGAGGAAGGCGUUGGAGUUAAUAGCUUCAGCGCUUGACGUUAGCAACAGAAGAAGCACCGGCUAACUCCGUG